UACGUAGGGGGCAAGCGUUGUCCGGAUUUAUUGGGCGUAAAGAGCGUGUAGGCGGCUAGGUAGGUCCGUUGUGAAAACUCGAGGCUCAACCUCGAGACGUCGAUGGAAACCAUCUGGCUAGAGUCCGGAAGAGGAGAGUGGAAUUCCUGGUGUAGCGGUGAAAUGCGCAGAUAUCAGGAAGAACACCCGUGGCGAAGGCGGCUCUCUGGGACGGUACUGACGCUGAGACGCGAAAGCGUGGGGAGCGAACAGG
rnacentral:rRNA from 1 species